GGUUCCAUAGCGUAGCGGUUAGCACGUCUGCUUUACGCGCAGAAGGUCCUGGGUUCGUGCCCCAGUGGAGCCA
rnacentral:tRNA from 1 species